UGGGCUGAAAUACAGACAGGAUGUCAGGAAGGAGUCAGCCUGUCAGAAUUGAGGCUCUCUCCUCCCCGCUCUUGCUUCUCUUUCCUAUGUCCUAUGGCUUGAAUCCAGCACCUUCUGCGAUGGGCUCUGAGUGUUGCCAAUGGGGAUGUUAGGUGGUCCCUGUGUCAGGCUUGUCCUGGCGCCUCAUCCUGCCGCCUUCUACAGACUAUGACUCCUGUUCAGCCAGCACACUUCUCAGGUGUCUCCUGGAGCUGUGUACUACAGUCACCGGAGCCUGCCAUCACAGCACCAGAUACAGGCAGCACUCAAUGUACAGCUGGGAUGCUGAGGUACAGCUGUGGGUAGCUGUGAAGGGCACAUGCCCUGGGGAGUCAGUGCAGAGGGGACGGAGCCUAACAUAGGCAAUGGAGGUUCACACAAGAGACUGCAGACCCAGGAGCAAGCUGCAUAAGGACCAGCAUCCAGGACGUCAGUGCAGCCUAUGCCAUCCUGGGCUUGGAAGCAGAGGCCCAGGACAAGAGUGGGCGCCUGGGUCAGGAUGGGAGCCACCUCCUGGUGGAUGCUAAGGGACUCUCAGCAGUUUCUGAUCCUCUGAAGGAAUUUACAGAUUGGGGCUGAAUGAAAGGAAGAAUUGGUUUUUGUUUGUUUUGUUUUAUUUUGUUUUUAAAUCUGGGAAUGAGCCCAGUAAAGUGAACAGAUCAGGUUUUGGACAUUCUGUAAGUCAUGUGAUUAAGUGGCUGGAAAACAGCAAUGCCUGCCUUAGCUGGGAGUAGCCAUCGCUCCUCCCCAAGGCACUUCAGAGCCCUUCUCUCCUCCCUCCCAGAUGUUCACUGAGAUGGUCCUGUGGUUUCUCUUGUGGGUGCAACCAGACACACAUAUGCCUCCAGACAGCCUUCUUCCUAAUUACAUCUUAGCUACAGUAUCACUAAGGACAGAUCUGCUGCUCACUCAGGGUAAAACCUAUUUCACACUGACCCACCCAUUGAGGAGGCACAGUAAAAGAGAAAAGACCCACAUAGAUCAACCGUACCUGUUUUAAAACUCAGACAGCAGAGAGCCCACCUGGGCCUGGCUCUCGCUACAGACAUCUUGAAGAGGCAGGUGCCAGGUGGUGCACUGGUCUGAGCAAUAGUCACUUCUUCCUGAUAACAACUCUGGGGCCAGGGCUGCCAGCCGGAUGUAUCCUGUUACCUCACUCUCUAUUCCUGGCACCCCAAGAGCUGAGCAGGCAGGUCCUUGCAGGCUACCAAAGUGGGAGGUGGCCACUCUGAUGGGCAGAGUGAUUGUGGUUCAGUAGCACCUCUUCUGUAUUCUGAAGCUAGCGUCUGGAAGUUUCCGUCAGUACACACCAAUGGCUGGCUAAGGUGUGUGAUAUUGUGAUCCAAGAAGCUCCCAGAGAAGCGAAUGAGCAGUAAAUAAAGCACAGCUGGCCCAGAAAAACCUCAUUUCCCCACAGUGAGGGAACACAUGCAAAUACGACGUGCUCAGAGAAAUGAACUAACGUGAUUAAAAUGACAUUUAAUCUUCAUGAAUAUUUGCAAUAAAAUGAAACCUUUAAUCUGCAAA